GACGAACGCUGGCGGCGUGCUUAACACAUGCAAGUCGAACGGAAAGGCCCUGCUUGCAGGGUACUCGAGUGGCGAACGGGUGAGUAACACGUGGGUGAUCUGCCCUGCACUUCGGGAUAAGCCUGGGAAGCUGGGUCUAAUACCGGAUAGGAGCCAUUUUUAGUGUGAUGGUUGGAAAGCUUUUUCGGUGUAGGAUGAGCUCGCGGCCUAUCAGCUUGUUGGUGGGGUAAUGGCCUACCAAGGCGGCGACGGGUAGCCGGCCUGAGAGGGUGGACGGCCACAUUGGGACUGAGAUACGGCCCAGACUCCUACGGGAGGCAGCAGUGGGGAAUAUUGCACAAUGGGCGCAAGCCUGAUGCAGCGACGCCGCGUGGGGGAUGACGGCCUUCGGGUUGUAAACUCCUUUCGCUAGGGACGAAGCUUUUUGUGACGGUACCUAGAUAAGAAGCACCGGCUAACUACGUG
rnacentral:rRNA from 1 species